CACUGGGGAACAAUUACAGCAAUGAGAAAAUGGUAAAAAUAACACAAACCCAGCAUAUUCCUCAUGACACUGACAGCCAGAAUGCUGCUUAGUAUGGCAGAGAGCAGAAACAUUAACAGGCUUAAUACCCAAACAGUCUACCUGCAGUGAGACGUGCCAAUUUGCUGCCAUCACUCCCUGCCAUCACAGUGCCAUCUGUGUCACAAAGACUGGACAAUGCCCUCAUCUAAGAGCAAGAAACCAGACCUGAGAUAACAACAGAUGAAGCAGCAACAAGAGAAAGGAGACAAUGAUUCAUCAAGGAGCUGUCCCUGUCAUCUGGGUGACUCUCAGUUGAAUCAGAGCCUCCGCACCACGCCUAAUGGACCUGAGCUGACUGGUAACCACAGAGGACUUGCUUCUUCAGCUUCGUUUCCUCACCCAUCCAUGCCUACACAUGUACAUUUUCUGAAUGGAAGAAGAAGCUGAACAGAUAUUUAAAAGUCAGGUGCCGUGAACACGCUUGUUCUGGAUUCAGAAGUGGGUAAAUCUUAUUUGAUGGGGACCAAAAAUCUCAUCUUUCCUUCUGUAAAAUUGUUCAUGCUGCAGCU
rnacentral:lncRNA from 1 species